rnacentral:rRNA from 1 species
AGGAUGAACGCUAGUUUNCGGCUUAACACNUGNAAGUCGAGGGGCAGCGGUGGAGAGAGCUUGCUCUCUUCAGCCGGCGACCGGCGCACGGGUGAGUAACACGUAUGCAACCUGCCCUUGACACUGGGAUAACCCGGAGAAAUCCGGACUAAUACCGGGCGAUACCUCUGGAGGACAUCCUCCGGAGGUCGAAGGAACGAUUCCGGUCAAGGAUGGGCAUGCGGCGCAUUAGCUAGUUGGCGGGGUAACGGCCCACCAAGGCGACGAUGCGUAGGGGUUCUGAGAGGAAGGUCCCCCACAUUGGUACUGAGACACGGACCAAACUCCUACGGGAGGCAGCAGUGAGGAAUAUUGGUCAAUGGGCGCGAGCCUGAACCAGCCAAGUCGCGUGAGGGAAGACGGCCCUGCGGGUUGUAAACCUCUUUUGUCGGGGAGCAAGGACUGCCACGAGUGGCAGGGCGAGAGUACCCGAAGAAAAAGCAUCGGCUAACUCCGUGCCAGCCAGCCGCGGUAAUACGGAGGAUGCGAGCGUUAUCCGGAUUUAUUGGGUUUAAAGGGUGCGUAGGCGGAAGCUCAAGUCAGCGGUAAAAUCGAGGGGCUCAACCCCUUUAAGCCGUUGAAACUGGGUUUCUUGAGUGGGCGAGAAGUGUGCGGAAUGUGUGGUGUAGCGGUGAAAUGCAUAGAUAUCACACAGAACUCCGAUUGCGAAGGCAGCACACCGGCGCCCUACUGACGCUGAGGCACGAAAGCGUGGGGAUCAAACAGGAUUAGAUACCCUGGUAGUCCACGCAGUAAACGAUGAACACUAGGUGUGCGGGUCGAAUGAGAUCUGCGUGCCACAGCGAAAGCGUUAAGUGUUCCACCUGGGGAGUACGCCGGCAACGAUGAAACUCAAAGGAAUUGACGGGGGCCCGCACAAGCGGAGGAACAUGUGGUUUAAUUCGAUGAUACGCGAGGAACCUUACCCGGGCUCAAACGGCAGAGGAAAGUUUUUGAAAGGAGGCUGCUCUUAGGAGUCUCUGCCGAGGUGCUGCAUGGUUGUCGUCANCUAAUNCCNUGAGGUGUCGGCUUAAGUGCCAUAACGAGCGCAACCCCUACCGCCAGUUGCCAUCAGGUAAAGCUGGGGACUCUGGCGGGACUGCCGGCGCAAGCUGUGAGGAAGGCGGGGAUGACGUCAAAUCAGCACGGCCCUUACGUCCGGGGCGACACACGUGUUACAAUGGCAGGUACAGCGNGAAGCCACCGAGCGAUCGGGAGCAGAACCCGAAAACCUGUCUCAGUUCGGAUUGGAGUCUGCAACUCGACUCCAUGAAGCUGGAUUCGCUAGUAAUCGCGCAUCAGCCAUGGCGCGGUGAAUACGUUCCCGGGCCUUGUACACACCGCCCGUCAAGCCAUGGAAGCCGGGGGUGCCUGAAGUGCGCGACCGCAAGGAGCGCCCUAAGGUAAAACCG